rnacentral:rRNA from 1 species
UACGAAGGGGGCUAGCGUUGUUCGGAAUCACUGGGCGUAAAGGGCGCGUAGGCGGCUUUAUAAGUCGGGGGUGAAAGCCUGUGGCUCAACCACAGAAUUGCCUUCGAUACUGUAGAGCUUGAGACCGGAAGAGGUAAGUGGAAUUCCGAGUGUAGAGGUGAAAUUCGUAGAUAUUCGGAAGAACACCAGUGGCGAAGGCGGCUCACUGGACUGGUAUUGACGCUGAGGUGCGAAAGCGUGGGGAGCAAACAGG